ACGGGUGAGUAAUGCCUAGGAAUCUGCCUGGUAGUGGGGGACAACGUUUCGAAAGGAACGCUAAUACCGCAUACGUCCUACGGGAGAAAGCAGGGGACCUUCGGGCCUUGCGCUAUCAGAUGAGCCUAGGUCGGAUUAGCUAGUUGGUGAGGUAAUGGCUCACCAAGGCGACGAUCCGUAACUGGUCUGAGAGGAUGAUCAGUCACACUGGAACUGAGACACGGUCCAGACUCCUACGGGAGGCAGCAGUGGGGAAUAUUGGACAAUGGGCGAAAGCCUGAUCCAGCCAUGCCGCGUGUGUGAAGAAGGUCUUCGGAUUGUAAAGCACUUUAAGUUGGGAGGAAGGGUUGUAGAUUAAUACUCUGCAAUUUUGACGUUACCGACAGAAUAAGCACCGGCUAACUCUGUGCCAGCAGCCGCGGUAAUACAGAGGGUGCAAGCGUUAAUCGGAAUUACUGGGCGUAAAGCGCGCGUAGGUGGUUCGUUAAGUUGGAUGUGAAAUCCCCGGGCUCAACCUGGGAACUGCAUCCAAAACUGGCGAGCUAGAGUAUGGUAGAGGGGUGGGUGGGAAUUUCCUGUGUAGCGGUG
rnacentral:rRNA from 1 species